CCUCGAGGGCCCUCAUGCCAUCAUCAAAGCCAAUACUUCCUCGGUACUGGUCAACAAUGCUCGGCAAAAAUUGACCUCGGGUUUGGUCCUCUAAUGGGACAAACCAUGUUGGCAGAGCCCCAUCCUCGAGAUCAACCACUUCGAUAGGACCUCGAGAUUGAGGGACACUCCGAGGUGUACCCUGAGGGGUUGGGCGCUCAACCCUUUCCCGCUCUUUGGUCG
rnacentral:lncRNA from 1 species